GACGAACGCUGGCGGCGUGCCUAAUACAUGCAAGUAGAACGCUGAAGGAGGAGCUUGCUUCUCUGGAUGAGUUGCGAACGGGUGAGUAACGCGUAGGUAACCUGCCUGGUAGCGGGGGAUAACUAUUGGAAACGAUAGCUAAUACCGCAUAAUAGCAGUUGUUGCAUGACAACUGUUUGAAAGGUGCAAAUGCAUCACUACCAGAUGGACCUGCGUUGUAUUAGCUAGUUGGUGGGGUAAAGGCUCACCAAGGCGACGAUACAUAGCCGACCUGAGAGGGUGAUCGGCCACACUGGGACUGAGACACGGCCCAGACUCCUACGGGAGGCAGCAGUAGGGAAUCUUCGGCAAUGGACGGAAGUCUGACCGAACAACGCCGCGUGAGUGAAGAAGGUUUUCGGAUCGUAAAGCUCUGUUGUAAGAGAAGAACGAGUGUGAGAGUGGAAAGUUCACACUGUGACGGUAUCUUACCAGAAAGGGACGGCUAACUACGUG
rnacentral:rRNA from 1 species